CCUACGGGUGGCAGCAGUGAGGAAUAUUGGUCAAUGGACGAGAGUCUGAACCAGCCAAGUAGCGUGAAGGAUGACUGCCCUAUGGGUUGUAAACUUCUUUUAUAUGGGAAUAAAAUGUUCCACGUGUGGGAUUUUGUAUGUACCAUAUGAAUAAGGAUCGGCUAACUCCGUGCCAGCAGCCGCGGUAAUACGGAGGAUCCGAGCGUUAUCCGGAUUUAUUGGGUUUAAAGGGAGCGUAGGUGGAUUGUUAAGUCAGUUGUGAAAGUUUGUGGCUCAACCGUAAAAUUGCAGUUGAGACUGGCAGUCUUGAGUACAGUAGAGGUGGGCGGAAUUCGUGGUGUAGCGGUGAAAUGCUUAGAUAGCACGAAGAACUCCGAUUGCGAAGGCAGUUCACUGGACUGCAACUGACACUGAGGCUCGAAAGUGUGGGUAUCAAACAGGAUUAGAUACCCCAGUAGUC
rnacentral:rRNA from 1 species